rnacentral:misc_RNA from 1 species
UCUCCGUUGGUGAACCAGCGGAGGGAUCAUUAUAGAGUUUUUUUAAACUCCCAACCCAUGUGAACUUACCAUUGUUGCCUCGGCAGAGCCUACCCGGUAACUGUUCGGAGAAGCUACCCUGUAGCUACCCUGUAACGGCCUACCCUGUAACGCACUGCCGGUGGACUUUUAAACUCUUGUUAUUUUAUAGUAAUCUGAGCGUCUUAUUUUAAUAAGUCAAAACUUUCAACAACGGAUCUCUUGGUUCUGGAAUCGAUGAAGAACGCAGC